GCAGCCCCCACUGCCACUGAGCGCAGCCAAAACCGUUGGACGGCUGAACAGGAGCUGAAGGAGGUUGGGAUUCCUUUUGGAUGAGCUUUGCGUGGAGCCGCUGCCCUCGGGAGCCCUGGUGCCGCUUCGCUGGGAGCUCUGGGGCCACUUAAUAGCGGCGGGUUCCUGGGUCGUGAGCAACACUUUCGGGAUACAAACAGCGUGGCUAAUUGAGGGCUAAUUGAUGGGUGAGGUUUGCUGACUUCACCUCCCUCCCCGAGGCCUCGUGCGGCAUCAGCAGCUGCUGGAGCGCGGAGCCGUGCCUGGCGGGGACGGAUCGUGGUGCUGAGCUGCUGCUUCCUUGUGUCUGACGUGGGCUGCGUGUCUCUCUGCGUGUUCUUCUGCUCAUCUGAGCUGCGGUGACUCGACCUGCAGGGCUGGGAGGGCAGCUGGGGGCGGCGGGUGCUGCUGAGGUGGAGGCAGUUGGGUGCUGGGACAAACUGCGGAGCUCAGGAGGUGCUGUGGGGAAGGAGCCGUGUGGGUGCUCUGCAUUGAUGCCUUCUGCUGGUGCUGUUGGUUGGUAAGGGUUGUGCUGGCCCAGCAGGCAGCCCUGGGGGUCACAGUCUUUGUAGAGUCACAGAGUGGUUGGGUUGGAAGGGUCCUUGAAGAUCACAGAGCCAUGGAAUGAUUGGGUUAGAAGGGUCCCUGUAGAUGGUAGAGAGGUGGGAUGGUUGGGUUGGAAGGGUCCUUGAAGAUCACAGAGCCGUGGGAUGGUUGGGUUGGAAGGGUCCUUGAAGAUCACAGAGCCACAGAAUAGUUGGGUUGGAUUGGGUUAGAAGGGUCCCUGUAGAUGGUAGAGAGGUGGGAUGGUUGGGUUGGAAGGGUCCUUGAAGAUCACAGAGCCGUGGAAUGAUUGGGUUGGAUUGGGUUAGAAGGGUCCCUGUAGAUGGUAGAGAGGUGGGAUGGUUGGGUUGGAAGGGUCCUUGAAGAUCACAGAGCCACAGAAUAGUUAGGUUGGAAGGGUCCUUGAAGAUCACAGAGCCAUGGCAUGAUUGGGUUGGAAGGGUCCUUAGAGAUCAUAGAGGGGUGGGAUGGUUGGGUUGCAAGGGUCUUUAAAUAUCAUAGAGCAAUGGAAUGAUUAAAUUAGAAGGAUCCUGGAAGGUCGUAGAAGCUUAGAAUGGCUUGGUGUGUACUGGAACGUCAUAGAGCCAUGGAAUGAUAGAAUGUAUUGGGUUGAAAUUAUUCUUAAGCGUCAUAGAGCUGUGGAAUGGUUGGGUUAGAAGGGUCCUUACAGAGCACAGAGCCAUGGGAUCAUUGGCUUGGAAGAGACCUUGUGGAUCAUAGAGCCCUGGGAUGGCUGGGUUUGGAGGGUCCUUAUAGGUCAUAGAGCCAUGGGAUGGCUGGGUUUGGAGGGUCCUUAUAGGUCAUAGAGCCAUGGGAUGGCUGGGUUUGGAGGGUCCUUAUAGGUCAUAGAGCCAUGGGAUGGCUGGGUUUGGAGGGUCCUUAUAGGUCAUAGAGCCAUGGGAUGGCUGGGUUUGGAGGGUCCUUAUAGGUCAUAGAGCCAUGGGAUGGUUGGCUUGGAAGGGACCUCAGAGAUCAUAGAAGCACCGAAUGAUUUAAGUUGGAAGGUGCCUUUAGGAUUAUAGAAUCAUGGAAUGGAUUGGGUUGGAAGGACCUUUAAGAUCAGCUUCUUCCAGCCCCUUACAAUAGGCAGGGACGUCUCCCACCAGACCAAGUUGCUCACGGCCCCAUCCAGCCUGGCCUUGGAUGUCUCCAGGGACGGGACAUCCACAGCCUCACUGCGCAGCCUGUUCCAGUGUCUCCCCACCCUCACGGUAAAGAAUUUCUCCUUAAGGUCUAGUCUAAAUCUCUUGCAGUUCAAAGCCAUUUGCUCUUGUUUCGUCACUACGUUGCCUUAUAAAAAGUCCCUGCCCAGCUUUCCUGUAGGCGCCCUUUAGGUAACGUAUGGAAUCAUAAAAACUUUGGGGAGAGCUGACCAGGGGGGAAGCAGCUGUUGCUCAGGCACUGCGUGUCAGUCGGUGAGCAGUGAGCGAAUGCGUCGUUUGGUAGAUAGAGACCUUGUUAUCACAGAAUGGCCUGGGUUACAAAGGCCCCAAUGCUCACCUGCUUCCAACCCCUGCUGUGUGCAGGUCGCCAACCAGCAGCCCAGGCUGCCCAGAGCCACAUCCAGCCUGGCCUCCAAUGCCUGCAGGGAUGGGGCAUCCACAGCCUCCUUGGGCAAGCUGAACCUCCUUGCGGGUACUAUUUUUCCUUUUUCUGCCUCAGGAAACGGAUUUAUGGUCAACCCUGAAGUUCUACUCUUUAUUUUUCCUUUGGGCUGAGCCUGGAGGAGCCGUGGCACUCGGCAUCCAGAGGAGCCCCUCCUGCCCGGCAGUUGGGGUGGAGGAAUGGCUGAGCUCAGGUUGGCAGUGUGUGCAGCGUGAUGGAGCUGCCGGCACAGGGCGCCCUGCUCUGUCAGCACAGCAGCAGGGAGGGCCCUGCGGGGGGCAGAGGGGCUGCAGCAGGUCUGAGAAUGCACGGCCAGGACAGCAGCCCCACGGCUCGGCCUGGUUUGAACCCAAAGCUGACCCAGAGAGAAGCCUGAGGCGCGCUGAUCUGCCGGCAGCGAUGCUCCUGUGUGCCAGCAUCAGGCAGCAGCCUGUCUGUUCGUGCUCUCAGACAGUGGGUGGGAGCAGAGGACGUGAAAUAAGCAGAGGGCAUGAAAUAAACCAGCAGCUCUUUUUGCUGAGCCAGGGAUGUGCCCAGGAAAUCGCUGAGUGCUGUGCUGCCGUCUGCCUGCAGUGAUCCCAGAGCAUCGGCCUUGUGCUGCUCCCAAACGCUGCUGCAAACCUUGAGGCAAGAAAGCAGUGAGCUCUGGAGGCCAAGAGGACAAAGGGGCCCUGUGGUGCAUUGCCAGAGUGCAGCCAGCGGGGCAGGGAGGUGCUGCUCCCCUCUGCUUUGCCCUGCAGAGGCUCCCAGUUCAGGGCAGACUGGGAAGUGCUGGGAGAGCCCAGAGGAGGGUGUGGGGAUGGGGGGGCCUGGAGCCCCUCCUGGUGGGGAUGGGCUGAGAGCCCCAGGGCUGUGCAGCUGGGGGAGAGAAGGCUGAGAGGGGUGUGAGCA